CACGUAGGGGGCAAGCGUUGUCCGGAUUUAUUGGGCGUAAAGAGCUCGUAGGCGGCCCGGUAAGUCCGCUGUGAAAGUCAAAGGCUCAACCUUUGAAUGUCAGCGGAUACUGCCGGGCUAGAGUCCGGAAGAGGCGAGUGGAACUCCUGGUGUAGCGGUGGAAUGCGCAGAUAUCAGGAAGAACACCAACGGCGAAGGCAGCUCGCUGGGACGGAACUGACGCUAAGGCGCGAAAGCGUGGGGAGCGAACAGG
rnacentral:rRNA from 1 species